UCCGCCAGGCGGAACUGACGAUCAGCUUGUUUCUGGGGAGGAUUUGAAGCGAACACAAGCUGACGCAAGUUGAAUGAGCUGUCAGCUGCAUGUGAGCAGACUGUCAGGGUGGACAUCAUGACGGACUCAGACGGAGCCCGGACUGCCAUGGAGCUGUACGAGCAGCUGAGCGCUCAGGGAGACCGAGUCAGGAGCCUGAAGACCGCCAAAGCCGAGAAGGCUGAGAUCGAUGCAGCGGUCCAGCAGCUGCUCAAGCUGAAGGUGGACUAUAAGACCCUGACGGGUCAGGACUACAGGGCAGGAAGUCCGCCCUCGGACGCCGCGGCAGACAACGGGCCGGCGACGGGAGCGGCGGACGACGGCGACACGGUGGACCCGUGGAACGUGUCCACCACCAACGCCAAGGGGGUGGACUACGACAAGCUGAUCGUGAGGUUCGGCAGCAGUAAAGUGGACCAGGACCUGGUGGACCGGAUAGAGCGGGCGUGUGGACAGCGAGCGCACCGCUUCCUGCGGAGAGGCGUCUUCUUCUCACACAGGGACAUGCACCAGGUGCUGGACGCCCACCAGAAGAACAAGGCCUUCUACCUGUACACCGGCCGGGGGCCGUCCUCGGAGGCCAUGCACCUGGGACACCUCAUCCCCUUCAUCUUCACCAAGUGGCUGCAGGACGUGUUCGACGUGCCCCUGGUCAUCCAGCUGACGGACGACGAGAAGUUCCUGUGGAAGGACCUGAGUCUGGAGCAGUGCCGCCGGUUCUCCACAGAGAACGCUAAAGACAUCAUCGCCUGCGGCUUCGACGUCAACAAGACCUUCAUCUUCUCGGACCUGGACUACAUGGGAGCGUCUCCGGACUUCUACAGGAACGUGGUGAGGAUCCAGAAGCUGGUGACCUUUAACCAGGUCAAAGGCAUCUUCGGCUUCACGGACAGCGACUGCAUCGGGAAGAUCAGCUUCCCGGCCGUCCAGGCCGCUCCCUCCUUCUCCAGCUCCUUCCCCCAGAUCUUCGGGGGGAAGAAGGACGUCCAGUGUCUCAUCCCGUGCGCCAUCGACCAGGAUCCCUACUUCCGGAUGACCCGGGACGUGGCUCCGAGGAUCGGGUACCCCAAGCCCGCCCUGCUGCACUCCACCUUCUUCCCCGCCCUGCAGGGGGCGCAGACCAAGAUGAGCGCCAGCGACUCCAACUCCUCCAUCUUCCUCACCGACACCGCCAAGCAGAUCAAGAACAAGAUUAACAAACACGCCUUCUCUGGAGGGAGGGACACGGUGGAGGAGCACCGCCAGCUGGGGGGGGACACGGACGUGGACGUGUCCUUCAUGUAUUUGACCUUUUUCCUGGAAGACGACGAGCAGCUGGAGAAGAUCAGACAGGACACCGUAUAGUCCGCUCCACCAGGGUCCUGGAGAGCCAGGGUCCAUCGUGCAUCGCUUUGUCUGCCGUCCCUGGAAACACGUGUGUUCAACACGAUGGUUUUCAAUCGGACUGAAAAAACUCCCAGUGAACCGGACCAGUGAGGUGUGGGUAAAGCUGGGGUUCCUCAGGGAGCUGUUCUGGGACGCUGCUCUGGCUCUUCUCACAUGGUGGGUCCCGGUCUCUGUUGGAGGAUUCCAGGAUUUGAAGACCCCACAGACCCCUCUGCGGGGAAGGCUGAUGGCCGGACGUGUCCAGCGAGACUCACUGCUGCUCAUAUGAAGGCGGCUGAAGUCCGCCGAGGACUACAGCAGUGGAGCCCUGCUGACCGGAGAACUAAAGAAGAUCCUGAUCGACACCCUGCAGCCGCUGAUCGCCCAGCACCAAGAGAGACGCCAGCAGGUCUCCGAGGAGACGGUGCAGCGCUUCAUGACGCCCAGACG